GAAACGACCUCUAAGACUGGAUAGGAAAUAAAAAGGCAUCUUUUUAUUUUUAAAAGACCUUUUUCGGAAGGUAUGCUUAAAGAGGGGCUUGCGUCACAUUAGUUAGUUGGCAGGGUAAAGGCCUACCAAGACUAUGAUGUGUAGCUGGACUGAGAGGUUGAACAGCCACAUUGGGACUGAGACACGGCCCAAACUCCUACGGGAGGCAGCAGUAGGGAAUUUUCGGCAAUGGAGGAAACUCUGACCGAGCAACGCCGCGUGAACGAUGAAGUAUUUCGGUAUGUAAAGUUCUUUUAUUGAAGAAGAAAAAAUAGUGGAAAAACUAUCUUGACGAUAUUCAAUGAAUAAGCCCCGGCAAACUAUGUGCCAGCAGCCGCGGUAAUACAUAGGGGGCGAGCGUUAUCCGGAAUUAUUGGGCGUAAAGGGUGCGUAGGCGGUUUAAUAAGUCUAUAGUUUAAUUUCAGUGCUUAACACUGUCCUGCUAUAGAAACUAUUAGACUAGAGUGAGAUAGAGGCAAGUGGAAUUCCAUGUGUAGCGGUAAAAUGCGUAAAUAUAUGGAGGAACACCAGAGGCGUAGGCGGCUUGCUGGGUCUUUACUGACGCUGAGGCACGAAAGCGUGGGGAGCAAACAGGAUUAGAUACCCUGGUAGUCCACGCCGUAAACGAUGAGUACUAAGUGUCGGGAUUACUCGGUACUGAAGUUAACACAUUAAGUACUCCGCCUGAGUAGUACGUACGCAAGUAUGAAACUUAAAGGAAUUGACGGGACUCCGCACAAGCGGUGGAUCAUGUUGUUUAAUUCGAAGAUACACGAAAAACCUUACCAGGUCUUGACAUACUCUGCAAAGCUAUAGCAAUAUAGUGGAGGUUAUCAGGGAUACAGGUGGUGCAUGGUUGUCGUCAGCUCGUGUCGUGAGAUGUUAGGUUAAGUCCUAAAACGAGCGCAACCCUUGUCAUUAGUUGCCAGCAUGUCAUGAUGGGCACUUUAAUGAGACUGCCAAUGAAAAAUUGGAGGAAGGUGAGGAUCACGUCAAAUCAUCAUGCCCCUUAUGAUCUGGGCUACAAACGUGAUACAAUGGCUGUUACAAAGAGUAGCUGAAACGCAAGUUUAUAGCCAAUCUCAUAAAAGCAGUCUCAGUUCGGAUUGAAGUCUGCAACUCGACUUCAUGAAGUUGGAAUCGCUAGUAAUCGCGAAUCAGCAUGUCGCGGUGAAUACGUUCACGGGGUUUGUACAAC
rnacentral:rRNA from 1 species